rfam:Acetobacter orleanensis JCM 7639 DNA, contig: Abol_012.
UGACCGCGCAGAGGGAGAGACCGGUCCUGCACCGGCGCCGAAGGAGCAACCGCCCCGGAAACUCUCAGGCAAAAGGACCCUGCGCGGUUA